UUAGGCUGUUGGCGGGGUAAAGGCCCACCAAACCGAAGAUCAGUAGGGGCCCUGAGAGGGGUAGCCCCGAGAAGGGCACUGAGACACUGGCCCUAGCCUUACGGGGUGCAGCAGGCGCGAAACCUCUACAAUGCACGAAAGUGUGAUAGGGGAAUCCUAAGUGCUUAUGCUUAGCAUAGGCUUUUGCCAAGAAUAAAUCCCUUGGCGAAUAAGCGGUGGGUAAGACUGGUGCCAGCCGCCGCGGUAACACCAGCGCCGCAAGUGGGAACCAUGAUUAUUGGGCCUAAAGCGUCCGUAGCCUGUUUUGUAAAUCUCCUGUGAAAUUAUUCAGCUUAACUGAAUAGCUUGCGGGAGACACUACAGGACUUGAGACCGGGAGGAGUCAGAGUCAUUUCGGGGGGAGCGGUAAAAUGCUAUAAUCCCUGAAAGACCACCAGUGGCGAAGGCGUCUGACCAGAACGGAUCUGACGGUGAGGGACGAAAGCUAGGGGAGCGAUCGGGAUUAGAUACCCCAGUAGUCCUAGCUGUAAACGCUGCGAGCAAGGUGUUGCAUAUUCUAUAUGAAUAUGCAGUGUUGAAACGAAGGUGUUAAGCUCGCCGCCUGGGAAGUAUGGUCGCAAGACUGAAACUUAAAGGAAUUGGCGGGGGAGCACUACAAGGGGUGCGGCGUGCGGUUUAAUCUAAUUCCACACAGAGAAUCUCACCAGAAGCGACGGCAGGAUGAAAGUCAGGCUGAAGGUCUUACUUAACAAGCCGAGAGGUGGUGCAUGGCCGCCGUCAGCUCGUGCCGUAAGGUGUCCUCUUAAGUGAGGCAACGAGCGAGACCUGUACCCACAAUUGCCAGCGAGUCUUUUAGACGAUCGGGCACAAUGUGGGGACCGCCCUGGAAACAGGGAGGAAGGUGCAGGCUACGGUAGGUCUGUAUGCCCCGAAUCUUCUGGGCUACACGCGCGCAACAAUGGUAGAGACAAUGGGAUACAACUCCGAAAGGAGAAGUUAAACCUCGAAACUCUACCUUAGUACGGAUUGAGGAUUGUAACUCAUCCUCAUGACGAUGGAAUCCCUAGUAAUCAGACCUUAUCAUGGUCUGGUGAAUAUGUCCCUGCUCCUUGCUCACACCGCCCGUCAAACCACUCGAGCAGAGUUUAGAUGAGUAUUAGACUCUUAUCUAAUCCGAAUCUAAGCUCAGUGAGAUGGGUUAAGUCGUCACAAGGUA
rnacentral:rRNA from 1 species